GCUGGCGUAGCUCAGUCCGGUAGAGCAAUUGAUUCGUAAUCAAUAGGUCGGGGGUUCGAGUCCCCCCGCCAGCUCCA
rnacentral:tRNA from 1 species